rnacentral:rRNA from 1 species
UACAGAGGUCCCAAGCGUUGUUCGGAUUCAUUGGGCGUAAAGGGUGCGUAGGCGGCGCGGUAAGUCGGGUGUGAAAUCUCGGAGCUUAACUCCGAAACUGCAUUCGAUACUGCCGUGCUUGAGGACUGGAGAGGAGACUGGAAUUUACGGUGUAGCGGUGAAAUGCGUAGAUAUCGUAAGGAAGACCAGUGGCGAAGGCGGGUCUCCGGACAGUUCCUGACGCUGAGGCACGAAGGCCAGGGGAGCAAACGGG